UACGAAGGGGGCUAGCGUUGUUCGGAAUUACUGGGCGUAAGGCGCGCGCAGGCGGUCUUCCAAGUCAGUGGUGAAAGCCUGGAGCUCAACUCCAGAACUGCCAUUGAAACUGUUGGACUUGAGUACGAGAGAGGUGAGUGGAAUUCCCAGUGUAGAGGUGAAAUUCGUAGAUAUUGGGAAGAACACCAGUGGCGAAGGCGGCUCACUGGCUCGUAACUGACGCUCAGGCGCGACAGCGUGGGGAUCAAACAGG
rnacentral:rRNA from 1 species